AGGGGAGUGAAAAAGAACCUGAAACCGUGUACGUACAAGCAGUGGGAGCACCCUUUGGGGUGUGACUGCGUACCUUUUGUAUAAUGGGUCAGCGACUUAUAUUCUGUAGCAAGGUUAACCGAAUAGGGGAGCCGGAGGGAAACCGAGUCUUAACCGGGCGUUAAGUUGCAGGGUAUAGACCCGAAACCCGGUGAUCUAGCCAUGGGCAGGUUGAAGGUUGGGUAACACUAACUGGAGGACCGAACCGACUAAUGUUGAAAAAUUAGCGGAUGACCUGUGGCUGGGGGUGAAAGGCCAAUCAAACCGGGAGAUAGCUGGUUCUCCCCGAAAGCUAUUUAGGUAGCGCCUCGUGAAUUCAUCUCCGGGGGUAGAGCACUGUUUCGGCUAGGGGGCCAUCCCGGCUUACCAACCCGAUGCAAACUGCGAAUACCGGAGAAUGUUAUCACGGGAGACACACGGCGGGUGCUAACGUCCGUCGUGAAGAGGGAAACAACCCAGACCGCCAGCUAAGGUCCCAAAGUCAUGGUUAAGUGGGAAACGAUGUGGGAAGGCCCAGACAGCCAGGAUGUUGGCUUAGAAGCAGCCAUCAUUUAAAGAAAGCGUAAUAGCUCACUGGUCGAGUCGGCCUGCGCGGAAGAUGUAACGGGGCUAAACCAUGCACCGAAGCUGCGGCAGCGAACGUAUCACUUAAAGCGAUUCAGCGGGUUACGAUUGACGGAGCGAAGCGACGUCAAAGCGUAUACAAAGUCGAGUCGGUUUAAGGAUACGUUCGUUGGGUAGGGGAGCGUUCUGUAAGCCUGUGAAGGUGGCCUGUGAGGGUUGCUGGAGGUAUCAGAAGUGCGAAUGCUGACAUAAGUAACGAUAAAGCGGGUGAAAAGCCCGCUCGCCGGAAGACCAAGGGUUCCUGUCCAACGUUAAUCGGGGCAGGGUGAGUCGACCCCUAAGGCGAGGCCGAAAGGCGUAGUCGAUGGGAAACGGGUUAAUAUUCCCGUACUUGGUGUUACUGCGAAGGGGGGACGGAGAAGGCUAUGUUGGCCGGGCGACGGUUGUCCCGGUUUAAGCGUGUAGGUGUGUGUUCCAGGUAAAUCCGGUUCACUUUAACACUGAGGCGUGACGACGAGGCACUACGGUGCUGAAGCAACAAAUGCCCUGCUUCCAGGAAAAGCCUCUAAGCAUCAGGUAACAUCAAAUCGUACCCCAAACCGACACAGGUGGUCAGGUAGAGAAUACCAAGGCGCUUGAGAGAACUCGGGUGAAGGAACUAGGCAAAAUGGUGCCGUAACUUCGGGAGAAGGCACGCUGACACGUAGGUGAAGUGAUUUACUCAUGGAGCUGAAGUCAGUCGAAGAUACCAGCUGGCUGCAACUGUUUAUUAAAAACACAGCACUGUGCAAACACGAAAGUGGACGUAUACGGUGUGACGCCUGCCCGGUGCCGGAAGGUUAAUUGAUGGGGUCAGCGCAAGCGAAGCUCCUGAUCGAAGCCCCGGUAAACGGCGGCCGUAACUAUAACGGUCCUAAGGUAGCGAAAUUCCUUGUCGGGUAAGUUCCGACCUGCACGAAUGGCGUAAUGAUGGCCAGGCUGUCUCCACCCGAGACUCAGUGAAAUUGAACUCGCUGUGAAGAUGCAGUGUACCCGCGGCAAGACGGAAAGACCCCGUGAACCUUUACUAUAGCUUGACACUGAACAUUGAGCCUUGAUGUGUAGGAUAGGUGGGAGGCUUUGAAGUGUGGACGCCAGUCUGCAUGGAGCCGACCUUGAAAUACCACCCUUUAAUGUUU
rnacentral:rRNA from 1 species